UACGUAGGGGCCUAGCGUUGUCCGGAUUUAUUGGGCGUAAAGAGCUCGUAGGCGGCUUGUCGCGUCGACUGUGAAAUCCCGCGGCUCAACUGCGGGUCUGCAGUCGAUACGGGGCAGGCUAGAGUUCGGUAGGGGGAGACUGGAAUUCCUGGUGUAGCGGUGAAAUGCGCAGAUAUCAGGAAGAACACCAAUGGCGAAGGCAGCUCUCUGGGACGGUACUGACGCUGAGACGCGAAAGCGUGGGGAGCGAACAGG
rnacentral:rRNA from 1 species